UAUGUUUAGGGCUGCAAAAGAAGCCAAGAAGGCUACAAAAGCUGCCAAGAAACCUCCACCAGCACCCAAGGGCAAAACUGCUCCCAAGCAGAAGGCAACCAAGAUUACACAAAAGGCUGCACCUCGUGUUGGAGGAAAACGUUAAUGUUAUUUAUGAAUAAACAAUAUUAAAUAAG